GCCCGGCUAGCUCAGUCGGUAGAGCAGAUUUUUAAUCUCAGGGUCGUGGGUUCGAGCCCCACGUUCGGCG